rnacentral:lncRNA from 1 species
CGGCCGCGUUCUUCUGGCUGCUCUGCGUCUUGGGGACCUACCCCCUGGCGCGCUGCGGUCGGGCAGGAGACGCCUCACUGAGAGAACUGGAGAGGGGGGACGGAAACCGCUUCCUGGAGCGCCAGAGCACCGUACCACUGCGCCUCAUCUACCGCUUGGGCGGCGAGGACGAAACUCAGCACGAGCAGCUCAACACGCGGGUGCGGGGCGACCCUGGCGGACGGCAGCCUACUCACGUGGACAAGGCAAGCUUCCGGGUGGACGCCUUUGGAACCUCCUUCAUUCUCGAUGUCCUGCUGAACCAGUAAGUGC